GUGCCAGCAGCCGCGGUAAUACGUAGGGGGCAAGCGUUGUCCGGAUUUACUGGGCGUAAAGAGCGCGUAGGCGGAAGCUUAAGUGUGGCCUGAAAGCCCCCGUCUCAACCGGGGAAGGUGGCUGCAAACUGGGCUUCUUGAGGGGGAUAGGGGAAAGUGGAAUUCCGGGUGUAGCGGUGAAAUGCGCAGAUAUCGGGAGGAACACCAAUGGCGAGGGCAGCUCGCUGGGACGUGACUGACGCUCAGGCACGAAAGCGUGGGGAGCAAAAGGGAUUAGAUACCCCUGUAGUCC
rnacentral:rRNA from 1 species